GGCGCUAGGGUUGGAGCCUGGUGAGUCUUGAGCCUUCAAGCAUGCCUCUUUAAUAACUAUGGCUGUAUGUAUAUUCCAUGGUCAUGCCAAUUUAGUGAUAGCAACUGACUUUUUUAAAAUUCUGAUACACAUGCCCACAUGUUAAUGAUCCAAUUGAAUUAUAGUACUCCUCGAGUCUCUUGCAUGCAAAGGCCAAAAAAAAAGAUCAUAAUGAAUCACAAUAGUUCCAAAGUCACUACUUAUCUCUAGUUAGUAUGAUUUUAAAAGAUCCUUCUUUUGGUUCAAAUGCCUAGGUGAAGUUUUAGUCACACUCAACCCUCUCUUAGAAAGUUAGAUCCAGAUGAAUCACAAUAAUUGUAAAGUUACUGCUUACUAUUUAGAAAAGGCAUUUCUCAAUGUUGGCAUUUCUCAAUCCAGAUGAUCAGUCUGUUUUUUCCUAUGUUGGUUUAGCCAAAGCAAAAGCACAAGCUAAUACAUUGGUGUGGGUGUGGCCAGUGACCAUGUUUGGCUGUAGAACUGAUGCUUAAGUUGUAAUGUCAAUAAAAUAAAUGUGGACAAUGAAGAAAGCAAGAGGGUAAGAUGAACGUCCUUUGAGGACUAAGGAGAUGGAGAGGUAUCCCUUUCCCGUAUUAAUUGUGUCCCAAGUAAGUUCUAUUUGGUAGAAUGGGGUCUGCUUAGAAGAAAAUAGAGCUAGAUGCCUUUUACUGUGCAUUAAAUGUUGUUAAUGGCUCUUCUUUUUAUCUUGUGUUGUGUGCCAAAGUUUCUUGGAGAAGCUUUCUAAUGGACUUCGCCAAUGUUAAAUGGCCUUUGUAUGCGAUUGCUGUGUCACAUGUUCCUAUUGGCCAGGUACUGUUAAUUUAAAAAGUCAAAUGGACAGAUAUGGCAAGCUCUGAUUGGCUAUUGCAAUUUGCAAUACUUCUCUAGAUCAGGAAGAAUGAUAAAAGAAAUAGUCUCCUAAUAUUUAGCAUCUGAUACCUUUUGAAUCUUAUUCUUUAUUUUAUUUUAUUUUGUUUGAAAGAAGGGACAAGAUAGUUGCAACUGGAAGAACUUCAGAACUGAUAAUAUUUUUUUAACUUUUUAAUGUGCGAUGAUGCUGUACUAGCUAUUAAGUUGCUCUUACCAGCAUAUCUUCUUCCCCUAUAAAUCUUGCAAAGCUUUGUACAUUUAGGUAUCAGUUGUGACGUGAGGAACACAUCAAAAAGCAUAUGGAGGAAGUGGCAAGCCAGACCAGAUGUGUAAGAUGACUGCUAACAACUAGCAACAAAAUCAUUUUUAAGUAGCAGAAAAUGUUUAUUGUCUUCUGAGGAGAACUGGGUGAUGUGAUUUGCAUUCAUAGUGUGCCUUAUAUUUAUAGAAUACAAGUAGAUGAAGUUUCUUACGAAUGUCUCUGUUCUUGCAAGUGUUCCCACUCAUUUUUCUAGAUUGAGACCAGCAGUAUAAAUCUAAUUGAGUGGAAAUUUAGUGCCCUUCUGAACAAUUUAUCCACUUUGUGUACAAAUUCCAUGCUUAAUUCAUCGAUGCUGAUGCUUGCAUAGUUCAUCAUAAAUGCAAUCAUUUCUCUAUUUUCAUGUAAAUGGAUAUAGUGAAAUUUUAAUCCUUUCAUAAACACAAUCUUCAGCUACGGUCGUCUGGAAGGGCUAGUGCAGACUCUGCAGCAACUUGCCAGAAACUGAAGAAAGAUCUCCAGGCAGUGUUCAAUGUUCUUCCCAAAGACAUGCAGCAGCUUCUGCUCAUGAACCCGGAAAGAGCAGCCCUUCUACAAGGAAUUCCAGAACCAACAAAACUUCCAGGCUAUCCAUCAUUAGAAAUUGGGGUUGCUCCUUCCACUUCACCCAGAUAGUAUGCAAAGCAUGGGUAUGAGCAUGUUGGACCUUGUGCAGUUCUUCUCACAUUGCUGAAGGAUGACAUAGCUUGUAACAAUUGUGUGUCCUUCAUUCAAUCACAGGAUUGGAGAUAAUUUCUCCACUUUGAGCAUGGUUCUUCCCCUUGAUGCAUGAGAAUCACAAUGGUAUAUGCCCUCCCCAAGAGCACUUGAGAUAACCUUUAUUAUUUUGCAGUCAUGCAAACAAAUGGGAUUGUUCCAAGCUUAUGGGAAAUUGGUCUUUGAAUAUCUAAUGAAAAAUGAAGACUGAUGUUGUUUUUGUUCUGAAUUUGUCUACAAGUUGUCAAUCAAUCUGUAUAAUCACUUGGGGCAGAAUUCCCACCUGUAGAUUUUAUACUUCCAACUUUUUUUAGUCCCCUGCACUGGCAGUGCUUGAUGUUUUUUGUCAAGAACAUUGCCAAAAGGAAAUAUUGGUCUUUCUUUUUCCCCCCUUUAUUUAUUUAUUUAUAGCAUUGGGGCAGGAGAUCAUUACUUAUGAGAUUUGAAUUCUAGAAACCACUCUUAGAUCAACACCAGACAUCCAAGUCCUGGUUAAAAAUAUCUUACUGCUAUUAAAGUAUGAACUGUUCUUUUAGUUAUGUUGAAAAAUUAGAUUCCCGCUGAUAAUGAAAGGAAGAUACAUAUUAU
rnacentral:misc_RNA from 1 species